AAUAAUAAUAAUAAUAAUAUAAAAAUAAAAUUCUAAAAUAUUUUAAAAUAUAUUUGAUUAUUAUCAGUGUUGAACACAGUUGUGCUAUUCUUUAAAGGUGCAGAAGUGGAAGGCGGUGAGCUGCUGCUCCUCAGAUUGAUGUUCUUCAGGUGUUUGACACGUUCAGGAAUCCGGUCAGGAGAACAGCGGCUUUUGUUCCAGAAACAGUCUGCAGGGCGUCACGGGUGGGUCAUUCUCAGGGUCAAAGGUCUGCUGCAGACGAACUUGUCACGGUGGCAGAGAGAGGGUGAA
ensembl:lncRNA